rnacentral:rRNA from 1 species
CACGUAGGGCGCGAGCGUUGUCCGGAAUUAUUGGACGUAAAGAGCUCGUAGGCGGCCUGUUGCGUCCGCUGUGAAAGCCCGGGGCUUAACCCCGGGUCGGCAGUGGAUACGGGCAGGCUAGAGGUAGGUAGGGGAGAAUGGAAUUCCCGGUGUAGCGGUGAAAUGCGUUGAGAUCGGAAGGAACGCCCGGGGCGAAAGCGAGGUCCUGGACGUUUUCUGACGCUGAGACGCGAAAGCCAGGGGAGCGAACGGG